rnacentral:rRNA from 1 species
AGCUCCAAUAGCGUAUAUUAAAGUUGUUGCUAUAAAAAGCUCGUAGUUUGAUCUCGGCGGGCAGGGGGUGGUUUGCUCUUCAGCGCUACUGCCCCGUUUUGCCCAUGUGAUUGGCAGAGGUUUUGGGGUGCUCUUCAUUGAGUAACUCAGAGUGCCGUCAGGUUUACUUUGAAAAAAUUAGAGUGCUCAAAGCAGGCUUUUCACACUUGAAUAUUUGUGCAUGGAAUAAUGGAAUAGGAACUCGUUUCUAUUUUGUCGGUUUUCGGAAAUCGAGUUAAUGAUUAACAGGUACAAUUUGGGGCAUUAGUAAUCAGACAACAGGGUGAAAUUCUUGGACCAUCUGAAGACUGAAUACUGCGAAAGCAUUUGCCAAGAGUGUUUUCA